CACACUAGUGAACAUAAUCAACAAUUUGCCAGUCAACUUCUAUGAAUGACACUUCAUUUCCUUCUAAGAUUCAUUAAAACUCAUUCCAGUACCAGCAGAAUGGGAACUAGACCUUCAGGAACUGAUGAACCAGAAGUGACGUCACUUGGGCGGAGUGAGAGCCAGGCCAGUGAGGACUCAUCAUACUUGGGACACUCUUUUAAAAACUAUGGUUUCAUAUCGUCCAGUGAAAUAACAUCCCAUAUUCACAGUUUUAGACCUACCUAAAGGUAUUACACUGAAUUACUGAUCCUAAGGGGCAGAGUUUGACUGUUUGUUACACAUAAUGGUGAGAAAAGAAUCCUGGGACCACGCCUCCACUGAGACAGUAAUCCAGUGAUCGUUAGUAUAACCGGUAACAUAACGUUCCAUUAGGCCAAUCCAUCUCAUUCAUUGGUAGUUAAAAGGGGAGGUGUUACCACACCCUCAAGAUGAAACUGUACCUAUACAUGUAACGUCAGAUCUUAUUGUAUUUAUUUAUUAUUGACUCUGCCCUUUUAUAGCCAUGCCCACACAAAUGAAGUUGAGUAGCGUUAGUAUCAGUGGCGGAGCUGGAACUAAGCUGAUGCCCGGGCCCGGAUGUGGGUGUGUCCUGUUUUUAGCUUUUUCCAUAGAUGCUUUUUAAUUAUAAUACUUUUUCUUUGGGUAUUUUACUUGAAAAUGCUUGCUAAUUGCUUAUAUACACCUGUAUGUACUUGUUAGUACUCUGGUGAGGCUUGUGGUUAGCUUUAUCUAAACUUUGGGCAAGAAAUUGUUUACAUUGCAUCUAA